rnacentral:rRNA from 1 species
UGGGGAAUAUUGCACAAUGGGCGAAAGCCUGAUGCAGCAACGCCGCGUGAGCGAUGAAGGCCUUCGGGUCGUAAAGCACUGUCCUCAAGGAAGAUAAUGACGGUACUUGAGGAGGAAGCCCCGGCUAACUACGUGCCAGUAGCCGCGGUAAUACGUAGGGGGCUAGCGUUAUCCGGAAUUACUGGGCGUAAAGGGUGCGUAGGUGGUUUCUUAAGUCAGAGGUGAAAGGCUACGGCUCAACCGUAGUAAGCUCUUGAAACUGGGAAACUUGAGUGCAGGAGAGUAAAGUGGAAUUCCUAGUGUAGCGGUGAAAUGCGUCGAUAUUAGGAGUAACACCAGUAGCGAAUGCGGCUUUCUGGACUGUAACUGACACUGUGGCACGAAAGCGUGGUGAGCAAACA